UGAAACACUCUUGUCACGCCCAGGAAUUUUUAUUAACUGGAGCUGCAAGUUAACUCCUUCUCCGAGAGAAAUGGUGAUGGGGAGAGCCCCCCGUAAAGUCAGAGGUGUAGGUGAGAGCAUAAAACAGACUCUGGUGUUGGGGGUAGAUGCUCGGGAACAGGGGGUUUCCUGAGGCUUGAUCUCGCCUUUGCGUAAUGCUGAGCCUCCUUCCUCAUGACUUUGCCAUGGGCGGAGUUCCUCAAGCUGGCUCCCGGCAGCCUAGCACAUUACAAGUGUGAUCAUGUAUGGAUGUGGGAGUUGGACUGUGAAGAAAGCUGAGCACCGAAGAAUUGAUGCUUUUGAACUGUGGUGUUGGAGAAGACUCUUGAGAGUCCCUUGGACUGCAAGGAGAUCCAACCAGUCCAUUCUGAAGGAGAUCAGCCCUGGGAUUUCUUUGGAAGGAAUGAUACUAAAGGAGAUGGUGAAGUACAGAGAAGCCUGGUGUCCUGCAGUCCAUGGGGUCUCAAAGAGUCGGACGUGACCGAGCAACUGAACGACAAUCAAUCCAGGACCUAACCUAUCCCAGUGCACAUCCAUAAGUAGCACUCAGUAGAAAUUUGCUGUAACUCUAUCCAAAAAAAUGAUGAAGAGGGAAGUUGGCCUGAUGUUAAGGUGGACUUAAGAGUGUUGUUGUUUUCAAGUGGUGUCACUGCAGAUCAAUAAUUCUUUGCUUAGACUUUGGAAUUUAGUGACUUGAUCACAUCAAUUCAUUUAGAGACAGUAAGAGUUUGAAGCAGUGAACCACAUGAAAGAACUCAUGAAUCUGAAAGUUUCAGAAAUUCUCAUUCUGCCCUUGGGUAGGUUCUAUAUGAGUACAGGAGAAGUAGGGCUGCCAUGUAGGGGUGUGCAGGUUGUACACAGAACAACUGGCAGGGGCCCCAUUUACAUGGACUACUGUGCAAAUGAUGUCCUUAGAGUUGUGCUGGAGAAGGCAAUGGCAACCCACUCCAGCACUCUUGCCUGGAGAACCCGUCCCCCAGUCUUAUGCAGCAACUUAGAAGUAUUGCUUAGCGGCCAUAGAACUGAAGGAGGUGAAUGUUCUUAAGAAAAAUUACCAUAAGUUUAUAAGAUCUUGAUUGCCACUCAUCACCUUUAUGUGAAGUUUUGUAUACACAGUAGAAAUUAUUAGAUUUACUUUUUUUUCUAGACCAUAGUGGAAGUGUAAUACCAAUUUUGCCCUGUAGAAUCCAGUAAGAAUAACUAGUAUUUCCUGACUGUUUACUAAGUGUUAGGGAUUAGUUUAAGAAUACCAUGUUUUAAAAAUUAACCUUCAGAACCAUCCUAUAAGGUAGGUAACUAUUAUUCUGGUAGAGAUAAGGAAAUGAAGACACAAAAAUAUUAACUGAUAUAUCCAGCAUAAGUGGAAGUAAGGAAAGUACAUGAAUUAUGCUUGGCGCAUGGCUAGUACUAAAUAGAGAGGUAACUGUGACUGCAGCAAGUUAAUCUCGGUAUUUUAUGUUGCUCCAGAAUUGACUCCAUCUUGAAGGGAGACCUUUUUUUGUUUGUUUUUUAAUGUUAUUCAUAAGUUUAAAUUCAUCAACAAUCCCUCUACACACUGAAAAAAUAAAAGCAGGUGAAUUACAUAGAAGAGUGCUUGAUUUUUAUCUGUGACCCUGGCAAAUAACACCAAACAAAAAUGAUAGGGUUUUCAUGCAAAAUGACAUGUAUAUUGGUUAUGGGAAAAAAACCCAAAACUCUGCCAGUUGAAUCAUCCUAAAUAGGAAGUAGAGGAUAUAACUAUAAGAAAGAACUCUUUGGCUUCUCCUCACACUUGACCUUGAGAUGUUUCCAAGCUUCAGGGAAGAAUUGAAUUUCUUUGGCCAGUUGUGAUUUUUGUUAAAUUCUCUUUUCACACAGUGACUAUUUUCUUG
ensembl:lncRNA